GACGAACGCUGGCGGCGUGCUUAACACAUGCAAGUCGAACGGAAAGGCCCUGCUUUUGUGGGGUGCUCGAGUGGCGAACGGGUGAGUAACACGUGAGUAACCUGCCCUUGACUUUGGGAUAACUUCAGGAAACUGGGGCUAAUACCGGAUAGGAGCUCCUGCCGCAUGGUGGGGGUUGGAAAGUUUCGGCGGUUGGGGAUGGACUCGCGGCUUAUCAGCUUGUUGGUGGGGUAGUGGCUUACCAAGGCUUUGACGGGUAGCCGGCCUGAGAGGGUGACCGGCCACAUUGGGACUGAGAUACGGCCCAGACUCCUACGGGAGGCAGCAGUGGGGAAUAUUGCACAGUGGGCGGAAGCCUGAUGCAGCAACGCCGCGUGCGGGAUGACGGCCUUCGGGUUGUAAACCGCUUUCGCCUGUGACGAAGCGUGAGUGACGGUAAUGGGUAAAGAAGCACCGGCUAACUACGUG
rnacentral:rRNA from 1 species